UACGGAGGGAGCUAGCGUUGUUCGGAAUUACUGGGCGUAAAGCGCGCGUAGGCGGCUUUGUAAGUUAGAGGUGAAAGCCCGGGGCUCAACCCCGGAACUGCCUUUAAGACUGCAUCGCUUGAAUCCGGGAGAGGUGAGUGGAAUUCCGAGUGUAGAGGUGAAAUUCGUAGAUAUUCGGAAGAACACCAGUGGCGAAGGCGACCCACUGGACAUGUAUUGACGCUGAGGUACGAAAGCGUGGGGAGCAAACAGG
rnacentral:rRNA from 1 species